rnacentral:rRNA from 1 species
AUUGAACGCUGGCGGCAGGCCUAACACAUGCAAGUCGAGCGGAUGAAGGGAGCUUGCUCCUGGAUUCAGCGGCGGACGGGUGAGUAAUGCCUAGGAAUCUGCCUGGUAGUGGGGGAUAACGUCCGGAAACGGGCGCUAAUACCGCAUACGUCCUGAGGGAGAAAGUGGGGGAUCUUCGGACCUCACGCUAUCAGAUGAGCCUAGGUCGGAUUAGCUAGUUGGUGGGGUAAAGGCCUACCAAGGCGACGAUCCGUAACUGGUCUGAGAGGAUGAUCAGUCACCCUGGAACUGAGACACGGUCCAGACUCCUACGGGAGGCAGCAGUGGGGAAUAUUGGACAAUGGGCGAAAGCCUGAUCCAGCGAUGCCGCGUGUGUGAAGAAGGUCUUCGGAUUGUAAAGCACGUUAAGUUGGGAGGAACGGCAGUAAGUUAAUACCUUGCUGUUUUGACGUUACCAACAGAAUAAGCACCGGCUAACUUCGUG